rnacentral:rRNA from 1 species
ACAUGCAAGUCGAACGGAUUAUGGGGCUUGCUUCAUAGUUAGUGGCGAACGGGUGAGUAAUAUAUCGGAACAUAUCCGGAAGUGGGGGAUAACGUAGCGAAAGUUACGCUAAUACCGCAUAUGCCCUGAGGGGGAAAGGAGGGGAUCGCAAGACCUUUCGCUUUCGGAGUGGCCGAUAUCGGAUUAGCUAGUAGGUGAGGUAAAGGCUCACCUAGGCGACGAUCCGUAGCGGGUCUGAGAGGACGACCCGCCACACUGGAACUGAGACACGGUCCAGACUCCUACGGGAGGCAGCAGUGGGGAAUUUUGGACAAUGGGCGCAAGCCUGAUCCAGCCAUACCGCGUGAGUGAAGAAGGCCUUCGGGUUGUAAAGCUCUUUCAGCCGGAAAGAAAUCGCAUUUAUUAAUACUAAAUGUGGAUGACGGUACCGGAAGAAGAAGCACCGGCUAACUACGUGCCAGCAGCCGCGGUAAUACGUAGGGUGCGAGCGUUAAUCGGAAUUACUGGGCGUAAAGCGUGCGCAGGCGGUUUCGUAAGACAGAUGUGAAAUCCCCGGGCUCAACCUGGGAACUGCAUUUGUGACUGCGAGACUAGAGUGUAGCAGAGGGGGGUAGAAUUCCACGUGUAGCAGUGAAAUGCGUAGAGAUGUGGAGGAAUACCAAUGGCGAAGGCAGCCCCCUGGGUUAACACUGACGCUCAUGCACGAAAGCGUGGGGAGCAAACAGGAUUAGAUACCCUGGUAGUCCACGCCCCUAAACGAUGUCAACUAGGUGUUGGGGAAAGGAGACUUCUUU